rnacentral:rRNA from 1 species
CAGUAGCCGCGGUAAUACGGAGGGUGCAAGCGUUAAUCGGAAUUACUGGGCGUAAAGCGUGCGUAGGUGGUGGUUUAAGUCCGUUGUGAAAGCCCUGGGCUCAACCUGGGAAUUGCAGUGGAUACUGGGUCACUAGAGUGUGGUAGAGGAUAGUGGAAUUUCCGGUGUAGCAGUGAAAUGCGUAGAGAUCGGAAGGAACAUCUGUGGCGAAGGCGACUAUCUGGGCCAACACUGACACUGAGGCACGAAAGCGUGGGGAGCAAACAGGAUUAGAUACCCCAGUAGUCCCUGUCUCUUAUAC